CCGGCUCCUCCCGGAAGCGGCGAAGUUCAGGGGUCCAAGUAGGGAAGUUGGGUCCCAUGGGGAGUGGUGUCUGAAGAAGAGAAGCAAGUGUCCCUGAGGGAAUUAAGGGCCCGGUUAGAAACUGGAAAUUGAAGGUUUGACGGGGAAGUAAGGGGUCACACGAGGAUAGUUGAGGGUUCGGAUUCGAAGAGGAGUGGAGAGUUGGAAGGAAGGAAGGAGCUUGAAUUGGCCAAGGGGGAGCCAGAGAAGUAUUUACUGAACCCAGAGAAGAUUGAAAACUGCGUGGCAGAGGGCCCCAGCGAAGAUGAGGCCCUGUGUAUGAACUGCCAGAAUAACAGCUAUGGAGACAAAUGCGAGAGCUGCCUCCACGGCUACUUCCUCCUGGAUGGAAAGUGCACCAAGUGAGGCAGGGCGGAGGUGGGGGGAGCCUGAGACCCUUUCCCACCUGACUAGAAAUCGCUCUGGGAGUCAGGCACCCCUCCUCAGGCCUCUGCCCUCCAUCAGGAGAGGACAAAAUCCCAGGGUGCCCCCAGGCUGGCGUGAGGGGAAUGAGCGGGACUCAGAUGAGAGAGCUCUCCCACCUCAGAGGCCAGUGCUAAAACCCAGGCCACAGAGCGGCCCAUAUCCAGGAUAUUUUUAAUGUGUGGAAACCUAACUCCUGAUUCGCCCCAAACCUGCUCUUCUCACAGUCUUACCUAUUUCAGGAUAAAGCAAGCUCCAUCCUUCCAGUUGCUCAGUCACUUUCUCACCCAAUGUCCUAUCUGUCAGCAAAUUCUGUUGAUUCUACCUUCAGAAUAGACCCAAAAUCCCACCACUUCUCCCCACUGUCCCACCCCACUGCCCCUGCCCUGGUCUAGGCACUCACCUCUCCAACCUGAACUAAUGCACAGAUCUCCUCAGUGUGCUCCCCGCCCAUACCCUUGGCUGUUUAGUCUCUUCCUCACAAGCAGCAAGGGGGACCCUGUGAAUAUCUUAGUCAGAUCACAGCCCUCCUCUGCUCAGAACCGUCCUGUGAUUCUGUCCCCCACAGAGUAACAGUCAGAGUCCUCACCUUGGCCCAAGGUCCUGCAUGAUCUGCCUCUUGUUCCCCUUCUGAACUGCCUCUUCACUUCUCCCCCUCACUCUCCACUCUAACCACACAGGUCUCAUUGUUUCUCUGAAAUGCUAAACACACUCCCAGGGUCUUUACACUUGCUGUUCCCUCAGCUUAAAAUGCUUUUCCCCCAGGUGCCCCUAUAGCUCACUCCUUCACUUCUGCUCAUGUGUCAUCUUAUGAAAGAGGUCUUCCCCUCCUGUUAUCCUUGUUAGGUGCCGUCAAGUUGGUUCCAACUCUUGGAGACCCUAUGUACAACAGAACGCAAUGCUGCCCAGUCCUGUUCCAUCUUCACAAUUGUUGCUAUGUUUGAGCCCAUUGUUGCAGCCACUGUGUCAGUCCAUCUUGUUGAGGGUCUUCCUCUUUCUCACUGAUGCUCUACUUUACCAAGCAUGAUGUUCUUCUCCAGGGACCAUCCUCCCAGCACUUCCCUGCCUUGUUUUUCUUGUCACCUUCAACCUACCACAUCAUUUAUCUAUCUAUUGGGCUCCCUGCUAACUUGUCAGUUCCUUGAGGCCUGGGACCUUGUCCACUGCUAUGUCACCAGCACCUACAACAGUGUGGGGCUCACUAUAGGUGGAGAGAACGAGUGACCACAGGUGAUGUUGUUCCUCCUGAUAUGGAAGGGAGAUGCUGGCUGAGAGAAGGGAAGUGAUUUUGGAGUUGAUGUGGGACAAUGGAGAGUCAGACAGGCUGGUGUCAGAAUCCAGGCUCCUCUCUUAAUCAGUCCUGAGUUCUUGGACAAGAGACUUCACCUCCACAGGCCUUAGCUUCUGAAUCUGUGAAAUGGAAAGAUGAGCCUGUACCUCCCAGGGAUGGUGCUGGGAGGAUUAAAUGACUCAUGCCAAGCACCCGGGAUAAUGCCUGGGGUGCUGCAGACCCUUGAUAACCUCCCCCCACUUUCCCUAAGGUCAUCGGUGGGUUGGUGGCCUGGAACGAGCUAGAACUCAGGCCUCUUGCCCCCUGAGGCCAGGGUUUCUCUACACUCCGCCCCCCCGCCACCACCACGAGCCUGUUGUCUUCAGGUCCAUGGGUACCAGAGAGAAGUGACAGCUGAGAGGAUGCAUGCAGGGAGGAGGGACGCGUGCUCUGGGGGCAUCUGGCACGGGAGCAUCUGUAGAGCAGGUUCAGGAGUCAAAGGGAGGGUGGCUCUGGGUCCCAGAGAAAAGGUCCAGGCAUGGUGCAAGUGCUCUGCAGAGGAAGGCAGAGUGGCUGCUAGGAAAAGGCCUCCCCAAAGGGCCAUAGUUUACAUGGAGGGGUCUUGAAGAAGAACCUCAGCUCCUCUCUGGUCAAGCAGGGUAGACUUUCCUCUGGCCUCAGGACUCCCUCUCUACUGUAGGUUUGCUCCCCAGUUGGUAAUUCUGCCUUUUUAACACCCCUCCGCUCUCCAGCAGAAACUGGCAAUUUUUGGACACCCUGCCCCUAAUGUCUGCUCUGUGCUGGGACAGCUCUCAGCCACUUAAGUUAACCUGUGCUAAAUAAAGGACUUCUUCCUCAGGAGGACGUCCUUGGGCGGUGCAAAGGGUUAGUGUGCUUGGCUGUUAACUGAAAGGUUGGAGGUUUGAGUCGGCCCAGAGGCACCUCAGAAGAAAGAGCGGACAUUUACUGAUACUUACAAAAAAGCAGCCAUUGAAAACCCUAUGGAAUAAGUUGUACACCUGUAAAAAGCUGAACUGGCAAAUGUUGUGUGGUAGAUAUAUUUACAAUAACAAGAAAAAGAGCAGCUGCUGAAGCUGCUUAUGAAUGAUGAGACAUCUCAUGGGAUUUGGUUUCUUGGUUUGGCGAUAUAGGGUCGUGGUUUCAUGGGACAUACUGGCUAAUUAGCCUAAUUAUGUGUUAAGUGCAUCUGUUCCACCUCCUAGUUCAUCGCAUAGUGCUCAGGAUCUUAAAAGCUUGGAAGCAAGUCACUCAAUAUAAAGCAAUUCGUCUCUAUUCAUUUGGAGCGACAGAGGAAGUAGAGUCAGGAAUUGGAGGAGUGUAUGGAAUGUGUGGUUAAUUGUCUCGUUGAGUAACUGCCUCCUUUGUCAUGAGGCCAGAAGAACUAGACGGUGCCCAGCUACUGUUACUGAACAUUUUGAUCAAAGAUUCUAUAGAAGAAUCCUGAUCAAAAGGGGAAAACUGCAGACAGAAUUUCAAAUUCUCUUGAAAUCCAGUCUUUCUGCAACUAUGGAGGCUGGAUGUACCCCUGACACUAUUGCCCUAAGAUAACCUUUAAGCCUUAAGCCAAAAAUAUCUUCUUUAAACCAAACAAGAGUUUACCUUAACUAAUAAAGAAUGUCUGCCUUGAGCACUGUGUUCUCUGAGAACUAUCUAUAGGGGAUCAAAGUGACAACAGCAAUUCAAAAAGACUAAAUAGGAAACUUAGGGGGAAGAAAAUAGGCUCAGAAAGCUUUAUUAAUUCACUAAAAUAACAGCUAGUAAGUGGCAAGGGUCAGGGUUGGAUCCCAGGUCUGUCCAGUGUUGAGGCCUGAACACUUUCUAAUCUGUUAGUUGCCUUUGCAGUAAAGAGGGUGGAUUGAACAAAUUGCCCUAAAGAUCCCUUUGAGCUUCAGAGAGCUUUAAAUCUGACAUUUCUCUGCUUUGGAAACAAAGUCCCCAAGCCUGUUACAACUGUGUGUAAGCCAAGAGCUCAUAGGUAUUGAAUGAGCCGGGAGUUCUAAACGUAUCCUUUGAACUUCAGUGCCUAGGCUCUGCCAAGACUCUAUGUUAUGGCUUUGCCUAUUUUCAGGGUCCUUGGCAAGGGUCCUGACUGCACUGAGGGUUAGUGCUUUUACUCUGAGCCCUGGUGGUGCAGUGGUCAAAGUGCUUGGCUGCUAAUUGAAAGCUCUGUAUUUCAAACCCAACAGCCACUCUGUGGGAGAAAGAUGUGGCAGUCUGCUUCUGUAAAGAUUUACAGACUUGGAAACCCUGUGGGGCAGUGCUCUCUGUCCUAUAGGGCUGCUAUGAGUCAGAAUUGAUUCGUCAGCAAAUGGUUCAGUUUUUUUGGGUUUAGAGAGGGAGAGACAGUUGGGUUAAAGGUCUGACCCCUGAACUCCUCCUUCUUCACCUAGGCAUCUUUCCUGUGUCCCCAUCUCCCUCACCAAGCCUUCCUCUCCACCUGGAUUCCUUCCCUGGGAUAAAAAGGAUGUAGGCGGAGCUGGUUUUCAGGUUUUUAUUGUGGGUGAAUUUCUGGGUGUGGGCCCGGGCAGAGGGCAGGCCCUGCCAGGAGGGGGCAGAGAAGGCCAGGUGGGACUGGUGGACAUGGAUGGGGAGGGUGGGCAACAUCUUCACUGGCGGAUCUUCAGUUCCCGCGCCAUCUGGCAGAGGGCGCAGGGCAGACAAAAGGUAAGGGCAGCCCAGUCGUGCCCCACGGAGCCCUGCGGGGUGGAAGAGACAGGUUAGGAGCCCUGCCUUAGGUCCCAGGAGUCCAGAUCCAGGAGUCCAGCCCCCCAGCCCCCUCCUCCCUCAGACCCAGGAGUCCUCACCCCCAGCCCUCUCCUCUCUCAGACCCAGGAGUUCUUACCCCAGCCCCUCCUUCCUCAGACCCAGGGGUCCUGGCCCCAGUCCCCUCCUCCCUCAGACCCAGGGGUCCUGGCCCCCACCCCUUCCUCCCGAGGGGCUCGGUCCUGCGCGCACCCGGAUGUGGUA